rnacentral:rRNA from 1 species
GACGAACGCUGGCGGCGUGCCUAACACAUGCAAGUCGAACGGUACUGUUUUGAUAGAUUUCUUCGUAAUGAAUUUGAUUUAGUUUAGUGGCGGACGGGUGAGUAACGCGUUUGUAACCUGCCCUCAAGAUGGGAAUAACAUUCUGCAAAGAAUGCUAAUACCGCAUGACAUAUCGUAACCACAUGGUUUUGAUAUCAAAGAUUUUAUCGCUUGAAGAUGGACUCGCGUCCGUUUAGUCAGUUGGUGAGGUACCGUCUCACCAAGACCGCGAUCGGUAGCCGGACUGAGAGGUUGAACGGCCACAUUGGGACUGAGACACGGCCCAGACUCCUACGGGAGGAAGCAGUGGGGGAUAUUGCGCAAUGGGGGCAAACGGGACGAAGCAACGCCGCGUGAAGGAUGAAGGUGUUCGGAAUGUAAGCUUCUUUUAUUAAGGACGAAAAAUGACGGUACUUAAUGAAUAAGCGCCGGCUAACUACGUG